rnacentral:rRNA from 1 species
AGUGAACGCUGGCGGCAGGCCUAACACAUGCAAGUCGAGCGGCAGAGGAAAGUAGCUUGGUACUUUGCCGGCGAGCGGCGGACGGGUGAGUAAUGUCUGGGAAACUGCCUGAUGGAGGGGGAUAACUACUGGAAACGGUAGCUAAUACCGCAUAACGUCGCAAGACCAAAGAGGGGGACCUUCGGGCCUCUUGCCAUCAGAUGUGCCCAGAUGGGAUUAGCUAGUAGGUGGGGUAACGGCUCACCUAGGCGACGAUCCCUAGCUGGUCUGAGAGGAUGACCAGCCACACUGGAACUGAGACACGGUCCAGACUCCUACGGGAGGCAGCAGUGGGGAAUAUUGCACAAUGGGCGCAAGCCUGAUGCAGCCAUGCCGCGUGUAUGAAGAAGGCCUUCGGGUUGUAAAGUACUUUCAGCGGGGAGGAAGGCGUUGAGGUUAAUAACCUCAUCGAUUGACGUUACCCGCAGAAGAAGCACCGGCUAACUCCGUGCCAGCAGCCGCGGUAAUACGGAGGGUGCAAGCGUUAAUCGGAAUUACUGGGCGUAAAGCGCACGCAGGCGGUCUGUCAAGUCGGAUGUGAAAUCCCCGGGCUCAACCUGGGAACUGCAUUCGAAACUGGCAGGCUAGAGUCUUGUAGAGGGGGGUAGAAUUCCAGGUGUAGCGGUGAAAUGCGUAGAGAUCUGGAGGAAUACCGGUGGCGAAGGCGGCCCCCUGGACAAAGACUGACGCUCAGUGCGAAGC